rnacentral:rRNA from 1 species
GGGUCAGUAGGUUGGUCGUGCCACCGGUACGUACUGGUCUCACUGAUUCCUCCUUCCUGAAGAACCGUAACGCCAUUAAUUUGGUGUUGCGGGGAAACAGGACUGUUACUUUGAAAAAAUUAGAGUGUUUAAAGCAAGCUAACGCUUGAAUACGUUAGCAUGGAAUAAUGAAAUAGGACGAUCGAUCCUAUUUUGUUGGUUUCUAGAAUUGACGUA